rnacentral:lncRNA from 1 species
CUGAUGUCAGGGGCUGGGCUGCCGCACGAGUGGCCUGCCGGGUGCGGGGGAAAAUGUUCGAGCGCGAGCCCCCGCGGGGCCAAUGGGGAGACGGAGGGCAGAAACGGGGGCCGUUGGAGCCAGCCUAAGCUUGGGUGUAAGCUCUGUCACUCAGAGCUCGGGACUAGGCGCUUUUGGGUGCAAAACGAGUGGCCCACACAACUCCCUGGCUAGAAGAGGCCCGAGUCUGGGAGGGGAGAGAUUUGGAGAAACCGAAUCUCAACUCCAUGAAGUCAGUGACGUGUCUCUUCUCUGCUGUACUCCGGGUGCCUGAAAUGUGCCUGGCAGGAAACUUUCAUUUUGGCCACAUAUGUACCUGUGUGCAGGCAUGUGUGCUUCUGUGAGCAUGCCCUGGAUCUCAAUGCCAAGGUCAACAGAAAGAAAGCAGAGAGUGAGUCACCAGCUAGCAGGAUGGAGCGUUGGAGAGUGGCCUAACAUGGGUAUUGGGAAGCUGAAGGCUGACCUGAGAGCUCCUCCUAGCAUGAGGCUCAUCUGUCAUCAUAAGCACAUGUGGGGGUCUCCUUCACUGGAUUGAGGACAUGUCCUGAGUGCAGCCAUCCCUGCCAGGAUUUAUGGGAACCAGGGAAGGUCUUCCCACUUGGCUGUAUUAACUACAGGAGGAUCGACCUUCAUGUGAGCACAGCCUGUCCCACCAAACUGGGGCCACAGGUGCCUACUCCAGGAAGCUAAAGAUGGUGGUUUGAGAGCACAGACCCUGGGCUCAGUCAUGGAUCAAAGCUCUGAUUCUCAUCAGCUGCAUAACCCCUUGGAACCUUCUGUGGCCUCUCUGAGCCUCGUGUCUUCAUCUGGAAAGGAGUCAGCUGCAAUGAUACCUGUCUUUGGGACUGCUGAGUGGUUAAGCAAAGGAAAGAACUAAAGCAUUAGAAUGAUGACAAAGAAAGAAGAAAAAAAUUCAGGAUGUGGCAUGUGUGGACAAUCCAGGCAUAGAUGGCCAUUGUUCUAGGAGGACACGUCGGGAAUGAACCAAGGGGACUAUUUCCUUUUGCCACCAGGCCCGAGCCCAGGGUGAAGGGGGAUCUUCUAAAGCAAAUCAUCCCUACUUUGAAGAGACAGUUUGAAAUUUCCCAGAUGCAUCCCUUAAGGGCUAAAGUCCCAAGUGACUAUUUUAAAAAGCUGGCCCAUGGGCUUCUUGAGUUUGGACGUACUUGGGAAACUGUUCAUUCGCUG